rnacentral:rRNA from 1 species
AUUGAACGCUGGCGGCAGGCCUAACACAUGCAAGUCGAACGAGUGGCGGACGGGUGAGUAAUGCAUGGGGAUCUGCCUGGUCGUGGGGGAUAACGUACGGAAACGGGCGCUAAUACCGCAUACUAUCAAAUGAGCCGAGGUCGGAUUAGCUAGUUGGUGGGGUAAAGGCCCACCAAGGCGACGAUCCGUAGCUGGUCUGAGAGGAUGAUCAGUCACACUGGAACUGAGACACGGUCCAGACUCCUACGGGAGGCAGCAGUGGGGAAUAUUGGACAAUGGGCGAAAGCCUGAUCCAGCCAUACCGCGUGGGUGAAGAAGGCCUUCGGGUUGUAAAGCCCUUUUGGUGGGAAGGCGGUACCAAAAGAAUAAGCACCGGCUAACUCCGUGCCAGCAGCCGCGGUAAUAC